AUUGAACGCUGGCGGCAGGCCUAACACAUGCCAGUCGAGCGGUAACAGAGAUUAGCUUGCUAAUCUGCUGACGAGCGGCGGACGGGUGAGUAAUGCAUAGGAAGUUGCCCAGUAGAGGGGGAUACCAGUUGGAAACGACUGUUAAUACCGCAUGAUCUCUUUGGAGCAAAGCAGGGGACCUUCGGGCCUUGCGCUACUGGAUACGCCUAUGUGGGAUUAGCUAGUUGGUGAGGUAAUGGCUCACCAAGGCGACGAUCCCUAGCUGGUCUGAGAGGAUGAUCAGCCACACUGGGACUGAGACACGGCCCAGACUCCUACGGGAGGCAGCAGUGGGGAAUAUUGCACAAUGGGCGAAAGCCUGAUGCAGCCAUGCCGCGUGUAUGAAGAAGGCCUUCGGGUUGUAAAGUACUUUCAGUUGUGAGGAAGGUUGUGUAGUUAAUAGCUGCAUAAUUUGACGUUAGCAACAGAAGAAGCACCGGCUAACUCCGUG
rnacentral:rRNA from 1 species